GACGAACGCUGGCGGCGUGCCUAAUACAUGCAAGUCGAGCGGACGUUUUUAAAAGCUUGCUUUUUAAAAAGGUUAGCGGCGGACGGGUGAGUAACACGUGGGCAACCUGCCCUGUAGACUGGGAUAACCUCGGGAAACCGAAGCUAAUACCGGAUAAUCAAUAGAAGCACCUACUUCUAUUGUAAAAGUUGGGAUACUAACACUACAGGAUGGGCCCGCGGCGCAUUAGCUAGUUGGUAAGGUAAUGGCUUACCAAGGCGACGAUGCGUAGCCGACCUGAGAGGGUGAUCGGCCACACUGGGACUGAGACACGGCCCAGACUCCUACGGGAGGCAGCAGUAGGGAAUCUUCCGCAAUGGACGAAAGUCUGACGGAGCAACGCCGCGUGAACGAUGAAGGCCUUCGGGUCGUAAAGUUCUGUUGUUAGGGAAGAACAAGUACCGUUCGAAUAGGGCGGUACCUUGACGGUACCUAACCAGAAAGCCACGGCUAACUACGUG
rnacentral:rRNA from 1 species